CCUACGGGUGGCAGCAGUCGAGAAUCAUUCACAAUGGGGGAAACCCUGAUGGUGCGACGCCGCGUGGGGGAAUGAAGGUCUUCGGAUUGUAAACCCCUGUCAUGUGGGAGCAAAUUAAAAAGAUAGUACCACAAGAGGAAGAGACGGCUAACUCUGUGCCAGCAGCCGCGGUAAUACAGAGGUCUCAAGCGUUGUUCGGAAUCACUGGGCGUAAGGCGUGCGUAGGCUGUUUCGUAAGUCGGGUGUGAAAGGCGCGGGCUCAACCCGCGGACGGCACAUGAUACUGCGAGACUAGAGUAAUGGAGGGGGAACCGGAAUGCUCGGUGUAGCAGUGAAAUGCGUAGAUAUCGAGAGGAACACUCGUGGCGAAGGCGGGUUCCUGGACAUUAACUGACGCUGAGGCACGAAGGCCAGGGGAGCGAAAGGGAUUAGAUACCCGGGUAGUC
rnacentral:rRNA from 1 species